GACGAACGCUGGCGGCGUGCUUAACACAUGCAAGUCGAACGGAAAGGCCCUGCUUUUGUGGGGUGCUCGAGUGGCGAACGGGUGAGUAACACGUGAGUAACCUGCCCUUGACUUUGGGAUAACUUCGGAAACCGGGGCCAAUACCGGAUAGGAGCUCCUGCUGCAUGGGGGGGGUUGGAAAGUUUCGGCGGUUGGGGAUGGACUCGCGGCUUAUCAGCUUGUUGGUGGGGUAGUGGCUUACCAAGGCUUUGACGGGUAGCCGGCCUGAGAGGGUGACCGGCCACAUUGGGACUGAGAUACGGCCCAGACUCCUACGGGAGGCAGCAGUGGGGAAUAUUGCACAAUGGGCGGAAGCCUGAUGCAGCAACGCCGCGUGCGGGAUGACGGCCUUCGGGUUGUAAACCGCUUUCGCCUGUGACGAAGCGUGAGUGACGGUAAUGGGUAAAGAAGCACCGGCUAACUACGUG
rnacentral:rRNA from 1 species